UCUUACGUUCAUAUCUUACUGAAUGAACCAGAUCCCGUCCGAUCUCUGAAGUUAAUCAGUUGCGAGCUAUCUUAGUACUUGGAUGGGAGACCUCCUGGAAACCGUUAGAUGUGUAAGUC
rnacentral:rRNA from 1 species